rnacentral:rRNA from 1 species
UGGGGAAUCUUCCGCAAUGGACGAAAGUCUGACGGAGCAACGCCGCGUGAGUGAUGACGGCCUUCGGGUUGUAAAGCUCUGUUAAUCGGGACGAAUGGUUCUUGUGCAAAUAGUGCGAGGAUUUGACGGUACCGGAAUAGAAAGCCACGGCUAACUACGUGCCAGCAGCCGCGGGAAUACGUAGGUGGCAAGCGUUGUCCGGAAUUAUUGGGCGUAAAGCGCGCGCAGGCGGAUUGGUCUGUCUGUCUUAAAAGUUCGGGGCUUAACCCCGUGAUGGGAUGGAAACUGCCAAUCUAGAGUAUCGGAGAGGAAAGUGGAAUUCCUAGUGUAGCGGUGAAAUGCGUAGAUAUUAGGAAGAACACCAGUGGCGAAGGCGACUUUCUGGACGAAAACUGACGCUGAGGCGCGAAAGCCAGGGGAGCGAACGGG